rnacentral:misc_RNA from 1 species
UAAUUUUUCAUAUAUGAUGUUUAUAUGAAGUAUGGUAUUUGAUCAGUAAUUUAGAUUUUUUUUAUUACACCUAACUUGUAAUGACCAUGAUUGAAGUUGUGCACAUCUGGGCACAUAUUGGGAUGCUAACAUGUUUAUUACAAGUUAGGUGUAAUAAAAAAAAAUCUAAAUUAAAAACUCGUAAAUAGUAAACAUUCACAUCUGGUUGAGAAGUGCGAAGAAUAUCAUAAAACUUGAUUUUAUCACCUCAGAGGCCGCAGCAGAGCUGAAAUCCCUCCUUAGCAUACACUUUUCCUCGAAGAAAUCAUUAUGAAGCCACUAACAAUCAUCCUCCAUGUACAAGCAAAUGACCAGACUAUGAAGCCGGCCUCCCAUGCGCCAAACGAUUUCCGAUCCCAACAAAAAGAACAGAUAAAUAGGCACAAUUGCAUACACAAUACAUUUAUUAUUUUAGUAAAAUACAAUUAACUUACAACUGCAAACACUGUAAACUAGUUCCUAAAACCCUCAAAAGGUAAACUACAUCAUUAGAGAAUUUGGGCUAACGCACAGCAACAUAAAGUUGCUUUAUUAUAUAACUAUUUCAGUAACUGAUCCAGCAAAUUAUAAACAUUCAGCAAAUUUUCAGUACUAUAACCAGCUGUAACUGAUUUGAUGAUUGAGAGACAAUAACAACAAAAUAUUGUUUGAUCGGCAUAUGCUUGGACGAAACAAUAUGAUUAUUUGCAUUGGCAUCGGGGAAAAAUGAAAAAUAAAUAUUAACUCCAGAUACAUGCUUGCAAGAUCAUUAAAUAAUUGGAAUUUGUUAAUUUGCAGGAUCAGGCCAACUCAUGAAUCAACAUAGGCAGUGAUUUCUUUUGUUUAGCUUUAAAAAGACAAAUUUUAUACCAUUUUCUCCAAAUCAUAAACGCAAUUUCUUUUACCUUGAUAAGGUAACCCGGGUUUCGAAGAACUCCACAAUCUAUGAAAACU